GGUUCUAUAGUGUAGUGGCUAGCACAUGAGAUUCUGAGGUUUCCCAGAGCAUUCUCAUAACCCCGGUUCGAUCCCGGGUAGGACCU